CAAUUCACAACUAGACGCGGUUUGCGCGCGAGCUGCUUGAGUUUCUGCGCACGUCCACUGCACGCCGGGCUCGCGUUGAGAUCGACUAUACAGACUUAGUCCCAGUCUUCCGGAGUAGGGAAACUGGAUACUUGGCAGACAUCAAGAGAACGGAGCUGUACAUUUGCUAACGCAGUUUUAGGUCAGUUUGAAAGGAAAAAUACGUUAUGUUGCAUGGUAGUACACAGUAGGCGUGGAUGUGCGUUUAUGCAGUUUCAGAAGAAAAGCUCCUCAUUCUUUACCACCAAAUGCACUGCGACUGGUACGUUUACGGGUUUUCACCUUUGGAUUAGAUUGUGUGGUGUGAUGGAUCAUCCCAAACUUGCUAAGUAUUUAGAAAUUAAAGAUCACCACGCUCUGCUAACAGGAACAAGAUAUUGAGGUGCUACACGUCAAUGACAAAACUUCGCAAUCAAAUGACUACAGAUCAGAAGACGAGCAGAGAGUGGGAGUAGUGAUCAUGGUGGAGGAGUCAACCCGGAGCAGGUGAACACAGCUGCAGACCGCCAUGGGCUCUCAUCCUUCGGUCCCAGCUCUCCAUCUUCGGGUCUCCGAGAGACAGCAGGGGCCAGCCAGGGAGCGUCGGAGUGGGCAGGCGAGGCGGCUUGCUUCCCCCGCCGGCUACUGGCUCCUCGGCAACGAGGAGGGAGAGAAAUCAAUACUGAGAAGAGAUACUGCCAGGGGUCGCCCAAUGCAGCCUCCAGCCAUGGAGCCAUGGGAGACCCUGUACUAGGCUUUCUCUCCCUCUCAACCCGAUCUCAGUCAACUCACAUCAGCUGAAGAUAGGUCCGAGAGCUACGACGUUCUUCAUGAGUGUGUGUGGUUCUGCCGGAGGGCCUUUACAGACCCAGCAUCACUUGAUAAAACUGUGCCUGCUGGAGAACAAGCAGAAGAAGAAUGUCAAAGGUCUUUCUUUUCCCCAUCUUUGAUUCUUUUCCCACCUUGAGUGCACAUUCCCCCUGACUGUUUGAAUGAGUGCUUGACGGAGAUCUCUUUUACGCUAAAUCAAGAGGCCUUCUUAUUUUAGCUGUCUUUCUCCCGAGCAUGCACAAAGUGCUCUACAACAGAUGGGCCAGGAUAAGUGAACAGUUUGAACUCUUUUUACCCUUUCCAGAGUGGUUUUAGUUUCAUUUUUUGAUAAUCGCCACCGUCUGAGGGUUCGGGAAAGGACUUGUUCAUAUAAAGGAACUUGCCGGUCACCUUUCUUGGUUCCUUCAAAACAGUUUUAGUCCUUGUCUAUGGCAUUUGAUGGGUAUUACUAUCGUUGCACACCAAUGAAGGACGGCGCAAGUGCCUGAUCUCCUGACAGGCCCUCUUGAGCAACUUUAACCAGGCCACAGAUCGGCUUGGGAAGUGGAAGACUCUUGAAUGUCCCUUAAACAAGGUGCAAAAGUGGAAUGAAUGCCAUCAUUGCAUUGCAUUGAUGCAGUGGAUAGUUCCUGUAUCAGUGGAUGCUCCAUGGGAAGGAAUUCGGCUGUCAUUUGUAAAAUGCUAAGCUGAAGGUUAGAAAUUAACACGAUGCCAAGUGCCAGACGGCCGCCGUAACCGCUAGAUGCACGCCAUGCCAUUUAGUCUCCAACGGGCAGCGACUUCGACAAAAUGGCUGCCGCUGCCUGCCAGCUGUCCCCCUGCCAAGAUGGCGCCAGCUUAAACGCUGCUCACCCGCCUAAUCAGCUGCCAAUAUGCAGAUUCAAGGUUUUAUGUGAACGCAAGAGCCGCCAACCACAGCUGAAUCCAACUCAACUCAACUUUAUUUAUAUAGCGCUUUUUACAAUUUUUAUUGUUACAAAGCAGCUGUACAUAAGACAUAUUGACUAUAAGCAACACAAUUAAAGUUGUACCUGUAAAAACAAGAAAAAGGUGAAAACACAGAAGACAGACAUACCCACAUACAAAACACUCCACACACACAAUAUGCACACAUACUAACACACAUAGACAUAGACACACACACACACGGAUUCGCACGCACACACACACGUACACAAACAGGUACGCACACACACUGAGAGCACACAUUUAAGAUAAAGGAGAGAGAAGCACAGGUCAAAUAUAACAGACUAUAAAUUCCUAUAUGCAAUAUUAAUUAAGUAAAACUUUAAAAUUCUAAAACGGUGCCUUGAACUGGAGACCAUCCCAGCUGAGAUAUUUUCUUUAGUUACUGUACAUUUAUUUAAUCAUUUUACUUUAUUCCUUUUGUUGGACCUCAUGCCCCAUCAGGUAAGUUUUUUUAUACAUAGAAAAUGUACGUUUUUCAGAUUUUGGUUUUAUUCAUUUAAUUUAAUGAAUUAAAACCUGAAUGUUGUUUUAUUAUUUUAUUUUAUUUCAUUUUAUUUGUAAUCUAUAUCUCUUGUUAUUUAGCCGUUGUUUAUACGUAGACAACAAUAACAAGAAAUAUCAAAGUUGUUUAUUUCACAGUUAUGACUGUCUGACUCUGCAUUAUCUUGUUUAUUACACUGCCACUUAAAUACUUAAAUAAUGAAAUAACUGUAUAUUAAAUUUAAAAUUGAAUUGAAUAAUUAUUUUAUUAUGUAAGUAUAAAGAGACCACAGAGUGAUGUGACUUGCGCAGUUUAUUAUAUGAAAAUAUUUGACUUAGUAUGAAUACUGAAAGUAAUAAAUAGAUUUAUUCUGCAAAUAAACCUAUAAGUAAUAUAGUAAACUAUUGCAUUUAACUAAUUGCUGCCUUAUUUCUUAUAAAAAAACAAUAAAGUGCUUAAUUGCUGA